UUACGGGACGAGCGCAUUUAUAAGACCAAAACCAAUCGGGCUUCGGCCUGAACGGUGGUGACUCUGAAUAACUGAGCUGAUCGCAUGGUCUUUGUACCGGCGACGCAUCUUUCAAGUGUCUGCCUUAUCAACUUUCGAUGGUAGUUUAUGUGCCUACCAUGGUUGUUACGGGUAACGGAGAAUAAGGGUUCGACUCCGGAGAGGGAGCCUGAGAAACGGCUACCACAUCCAAGGAAGGCAGCAGGCGCGCAAAUUACCCACUCUCGGCACGAGGAGGUAGUGACGAAAAAUAACGAGGCGGUUCUCUAAGAGGCCCGCUAUCGGAAUGGGUACAAUUUAAACCCUUUAACGAGGACCUAUGAGAGGGCAAGUCUGGUGCCAGCAGCCGCGGUAAUUCCAGCUCUCAAGGUGUAUAUCGCCAUUGCUGCGGUUAAAAAGCUCGUAGUUGGAUCUGCGCCUUCGGACUCGGUCCGCCCAACGGGUGUGAACUGAGAUCCAAGGCUUAUACUGCUGGUUUUCCCUUGAUGCUCUUUACUGGGUGUCUUGGGUGGCUAGCGAGUUUACUUUGAAAAAAUUAGAGUGCUUAACACAGGCUAUCGCCUGAAUACUUGUGCAUGGAAUAAUAGAAUAAGACCACGGCUCUUUUUUAUUGGUUUUCGGAACUGUGAUAAUGGUAAGAGGGACAGCACGGGGGGCAU
rnacentral:rRNA from 1 species